UUUUCUCUUUAUGAGCCUUGGGAAUGAACGGCAGACUCCUGUAGGGAGUAGAGAAUGAGGUGAGUAGAAAAUCAGGCCAGAACUCCGAACAACAAACAGAAAGCUGGGAGGAAUGCCACAAAAGCACAGCAUCACAGAAGUCAGGGGGAUAGGGUGUCUCAAAAAGGAAGGAGUGAUCAGAAGGGUCAAAUGCCGCCUAGAGAUUAUGGAGAUAAAGACUGCAAGUGUCUGCUGGUGUUAGGUCACCUCUGGUGGGGGGUGUGCAGUUGGCUAAGGAAAAACUGAAGCUCAGGGUAGGUUCAUGGGAUGAGAAAAAGGGUAUUAACACUUCUGGAAGAAUUUGAGAUGGCAAGAGCACAC